GUAAACCUCAAAAGUACUCGGAGCGCGGAAUUCACGAAAAAAGUUACAUAUACUCGCGAUUUCGCCACGCUGCCUGGACGUUAGGCCAUCAGUAUGGCUGUCAUAUGGACGAUGACCUACCGCAAGUCAGCAGGGCAUGCCCAUUCCAUAUGUUCCUGUACAUGACCUGAGUCCAUGCGACCGUUCUGUUUUGC